rnacentral:rRNA from 1 species
GACGAACGCUGGCGGCGUGCUUAACACAUGCAAGUCGAACGAUGAAGCUGGAGCUUGCUCUAGCGGAUUAGUGGCGAACGGGUGAGUAACACGUGAGCAAUCUGCCCUUGACUCUGGGAUAACUGCGGGAAACUGUAGCUAAUACCGGAUACUUUCACCGGGGGGCAUCCUCUGGUGAUGAAAGAAUUUCGGUCAAGGAUGAGCUCGCGGCCUAUCAGCUUGUUGGUGAGGUAACGGCUCACCAAGGCGACGACGGGUAACCGGCCUGAGAGGGUGACCGGUGACACUGGGACGGAGACACGGCCCAGACUCCUACGGGAGGCAGCAGUGGGGAAUAUUGCACAAUGGGCGCAAGCCUGAUGCAGCAACGCCGCGUGAGGGAUGAAGGCCUUCGGGUUGUAAACCUCUUUUAGCAGGGAAGAAGCGAAAGUGACGGUACCUGCAGAAAAAGCACCGGCUAACUACGUGCCAGCCGCCGCGGUAA